GCACGACCUAGUCAAAGGACUUUCAAACAAGUUAUGCCUCAUGGGCAAGAGUUGACACUACCACAUCGUGUCUUGAUUUAUUAGAUGUUCUAUAACUCUUGCCUUAGAGGCAAGACUUAGCCCAUAAGUUACGCCCCAUAGGCAAGAGUUGACACUACCACAUUAUGUCUUGAUUUAUGAGAUGUUCUAUUAGUCUUACCUUUUAGACUUGACUUGGCCCAAGAACCUCCCCAAAAGAACAAGUUAACGUCCAAUGUGCAAGUUUGACAUUACUACAUUGUGUCUUGAUUUAUGAUAUGUUCUAUAACUUUUUGUUGUCUUUUUUUUUUUUGGCUCAACAUUUAUUUAUUUUUUCCUUUUCUCUUCUCAACUUCUAUAUAUAUUUUCUCUUUUCUCUUUUCUUUGAUUUUUAUUUUUUUCUUUUUGAAUAUUUUUCUUUUUCCGCAACUUUUAUUAUUUUUCAUUUCUUUUCUUCGAUUUGUUCCAAACAACAAGUUAUGCCCUAUGUACAAGAGUUGACACUACCAUAUUAUAUUUUGAUUUAUAAUAUGUUAUAUAAAUUUUGCCUUAGAGCAAAGAUUUAGGACUUUGAAACAAGAAGUAACGUUUCAUGUGCAAGAGUUUACACUACCACAUUGUGUUUUGAUUAUGAGAUGUUCUAUGAUCUUACCUUAGAAGCAAGACUUAGCCCAAGGAUUUUAAAACGAGUUAUGCCCUACGUGCAAGAGGUGACACUACCACAUUAUGUUUUGAUUUAUGAGAUGUUCUACAACUAAUGCCCUAAGUUAUGCGGACUCUUCACUUUUGAUGCCGCACUCGUGUCGGAUUCUCCAAAAAUACACUACUUUUGGCGAAUCCGACACAUACCCACUGACAGUUUUGAAGAGUCCAAGCAACAUGGCUAUUGCCUUAGAGGCACGACUUAUUCAAAAGAUUUUCAAACAACAAAUUAUUUAGGCAAAAGUCAGCACAACCAUAUUGUAUUUUUUACUUGUGAACUGCUCUAUAACUUUUGGCCUAGAGGCAAAACUUAUCCCAAGGACCAUCAAACAACAAGUUAUGUCUCAUGGACAAGAGUUGACACUACCACAUUAUGUAUUUAUUUAUGAGAUGCUCUAUAACUCUUCAAUUAGAGGUAAGACUUAGACCAAGGGCUUUCAAGCUAUAAGUUGCGCUUCAUGGGCAAGUGUUGACACCACCGCAUUUUGUUUUGAUUUUUGAGACAUUCUAUAACUUUUGCCUUAGAGGCAAAGCUUAACCCAGGGACUUUCAAACAAGAAGUUAUGUCCCAUGGGUAAGAGUUUGACACUGCCACCUUAUGUUUUGAUCUAUGAGAUGUUCUAUAACUCUUGCCUUUGAGGCAAGACUUAGCCCAAGGACUUUUAAACAAGUUACGCCCCAUGGGAAAAAGUUGACACUACUACUUUGUAUCUUGAUUUAUGAGAUGUUUUAUAAAUCAAGGACUUUCAAGUAAUAAGUUAUGCUCCAUGGGUAAGAGUUAACACUACCCUAAUAUCUCUUGAUUUAUCAGAUGUUUUAUAACUCUUGCCUUAGUGGCACGACCUAGUCAAAGGACUUUCAAACAAGUUAUGCCUCAUGGGCAAGAGUUGACACUACCACAUCGUGUCUUGAUUUAUUAGAUGUUCUAUAACUCUUGCCUUAGAGGCAAGACUUAGCCCAUAAGUUACGCCCCAUAGGCAAGAGUUGACACUACCACAUUAUGUCUUGAUUUAUGAGAUGUUCUAUUAGUCUUACCUUUUAGACUUGACUUGGCCCAAGAACCUCCCCAAAAGAACAAGUUAACGUCCAAUGUGCAAGUUUGACAUUACUACAUUGUGUCUUGAUUUAUGAUAUGUUCUAUAACUCUUGCCUUAGAGGUAAUACUUAACUCUAAGGAUUUUCAAACAACAAGUUAUGCCCAUGAGCAAGACUUGACACUACCAUAUUAUGUUUCGAUUUACGAGAUGUUUUAUAACUUUUGUCUUGGAGGCAAGACUUAUCCCAAAGGACUUCUAAACAAAUCAUGCCUUUAAAUUUAAUUCGUGUCAAAGAAAGAAUAUCCCUUUGCAGAUUAUCUAACUUUCUAUUUAUUAACAAAAUAUAAUAAAAGUUAAGAAAAUAGAAAAAAGAGAAGAAAAAAAUUGCGAAAGAAAAAGAUUGAGGAAAAAAAGAAAAAAAGAGAAGAAAAAAAUAAAGGUUAAGAAAAAAGUGAAGAAUAAAAAAAUUUGAGAAAAACAAAAAUGAGAAGAGAAAAAAGAAAAAUGUAGUUUGAGAAAAAUGAGGAAAAAAAUAAAAAUGAGAAAUAAUAAAAAUAAAAAUAAAGGUUGAGAAAAAUGAAUUAAAAAAAAGAUAAAUGAAGAAAUAGAUAAUGUUUGAGAAAAAAGAAAAAAGAGAAAAAAUAAAGGUUGAGACAAAUGAAUUAAACAUGA
rnacentral:lncRNA from 1 species